UACGGGGGGAGCAAGCGUUGUUCGGAUUUACUGGGCGUAAAGCGUGCGCAGGCGGUCUCGCAAGACAGAUGUGAAAUCCCCGGGCUUAACCUGGGAACUGCAUUUGUGACUGCAAGGCUGGAGUGCGGCAGAGGGGGAUGGAAUUCCGCGUGUAGCAGUGAAAUGCGUAGAUAUGCGGAGGAACACCGAUGGCGAAGGCAAUCCCCUGGGCCUGCACUGACGCUCAUGCACGAAAGCGUGGGGAGCAAACAGG
rnacentral:rRNA from 1 species